rnacentral:tRNA from 2 species
GGAGGGCUCGAAUAGCGGCCGAGUGAACCGGUCUUGAAAACCGGCAAACGAAAGUUUCGUGGGUUCAAAUCCCACGCCCUCCGCCA